UGGGGAAUAUUGGACAAUGGGCGCAAGCCUGAUCCAGCCAUGCCGCGUGAGUGAUGAAGGCCUUAGGGUUGUAAAGCUCUUUCGCCGGUGAAGAUAAUGACGGUAACCGGAGAAGAAGCCCCGGCUAACUUCGUGCCAGCAGCCGCGGUAAUACGAAGGGGGCUAGCGUUGCUCGGAAUCACUGGGCGUAAAGCGCACGUAGGCGGAUCGUUAAGUCAGGGGUGAAAUCCUGGAGCUCAACUCCAGGAACUGCCCUUGAUACUGGCGAUCUCGAGUUCGAGAGAGGUUGGUGGAACUCCGAGUGUAGAGGUGAAAUUCGUAGAUAUUCGGAAGAACACCAGUGGCGAAGGCGGCCAACUGGCUCGAUACUGGCGCUGAGGUGCGAAAAGCGUGGGGAGCAAAACAGGAUUAGAUACCCUGGUAGUCCACGCCGUAAACGAUGGAUGCUAGCCGUUGGGGGUUUACCUCUCAGUGGCGCAGCUAACGCCUUAAGCAUCCCGCCUGGGGAGUACGGUCGCAAGAUUAAAAACUCAAAGGAAUUGACGGGGUCAUAGCUGUUUCCU
rnacentral:rRNA from 1 species